rnacentral:rRNA from 1 species
CCUACGGGAGGCAGCAGUGGGGAAUUUUGCGCAAUGGGGGCAACCCUGACGCAGCAACGCCGCGUGAGUGAUGAAGGCCUUCGGGUCGUAAAGCUCUGUCAGAGGGGAAGAAAUGCAGGUGGUGAACAACCAUUCUGUUUGACGGUACCCUCAAAGGAAGCACCGGCUAACUCCGUGCCAGCAGCCGCGGUAAUACGGGGGGUGCGAGCGUUGUUCGGAAUUAUUGGGCGUAAAGCGCGUGUAGGCGGUUUGUAAAGUCUGAGGUAAAAGCCCCGGGCUAAACCGGGGAAGUGCAUUGGAUACUGGCAGACUUGAGUACGGGAGAGGAGAGUGGAAUUCCCGGUGUAGGAGUGAAAUCCGUAGAUAUUGGGAGGAACACCGGGGGCGAGGGCGGCUCUCGGGACCGAUACUGACGCUGAGACGCGAAAGCGUGGGGAGCAAACAGGAUUAGAACCCCCGGUAGU